GCAGCUGCGCGAGGCGUUUGGUGUCGGCUGCGGGCCGUCCCGUCAGGGCCCUCUGACGUGCUGCGUGUGCACAGGUGGCUGCGCGGUGCCCGUCAGUGCGCCGCCCGUGGCGGGGUCUGUGUUCGGGGACGGGUGUGUUUGUGGCUGCAGUUGCCGCAGUUCGUCCCGGCCCUCCAGACCUCCCCAGCCCCACUCUCGGCCUCGUGGUCCUGGCAUGCUCGCUGCUUCUGCCCCGGAUGCUUCCUCUGGGCUCCGCCCCCAGCACGUCCACGUCACGCCUGCUGCCUUAGUCCUGCAGAAAUCCUGCGCUUUGGAUUUGUGCCACCUUCUGUAAGUUGAAAGCUUCUGGACCAAGUGCGGCAGUGAGAUGGAGUCAGAAGAGGAGGUAUUGCCAUCAGAGAGUCAGCAAAAGUGGUUGACCAAGCCCAAAGGAGGGUGCUGAGGGGAGUUGAUGACCUGGACUUUUUCAUAGGGGAUGAAGCCAUAGAUAAACCCACGUAUGCCACAAAGUGGCCAAUAAGACAUGGAAUAAUUGAAGACUGAGAUCUAAUGGAGAGGUUCAUGGAACAAGUUAUUUUUAAUUUUCCCUGAGCUGAACCUGAGGGCCAUCACUUUUUGAUGAGUUUUAGAAUUAAGACUCUCAUCCUCAGAAACCUUCCUAGCAGAUUUGCCCUGUCUGUCCGUGCCCAGUGUGGGCCCUAGAGGGGAACAAAAUUACUUUGGUACAUUUUGAUGAGUCAAGAUUCUCUCCUGUUGCUGGUGAGGGGACCACAUCUCAUCACCUGGCCCCAAGAGAGAUGUUAGUGCUGUCCUGUGACCUCACUGAUCCUGGAUUACCCCUCUAGGGGCUUCAUCUCCAAACACAGUCAACUGAGGGUUGCAGCUUCAGCAUAAGAGUUUUGGGACACACAGCUCAGUAUAUAACAAAGGACAGAACCUCCUCUGAAUACACCAGAAAAUAAAGAAUAUCUUGCAGAAAUUAUGUUCAAAUUAUUUAAUGUACCGGGACUCUACAUUGCAGUUCAGGACGUUGCAGAGAUGAUGUACUAAUAUGCUGGUGCUUUAAUACCUCAAAGUUCAGAAAUCACUGCAGGGGGAGGCUGAUGUGUCUACAGUCAGGAGGAAAAAUCCAAAUCUUUCCCCUCUGUCAUUGCACCCUGCCAGUGUCCCCUUUGCCCGGGGGUGAGGAGAGGCAGGAGGCCUGCAGAGCAUGCUCUGUGCUCGCAGCCCCUUCAUCCAGUCUCGGAACACUGCCCCCUCCUGGGUGUGAGGUGUUUAGGUGCCACUUGCUGUGUGGCCCUGCCUGGCUCCUCUCUGAGGUCACAUCCUCAGAGGUCAGUGCAGGCCAAGGUCAGGGCCUGUGCCUGUGGGUCUGCUUCCUGGCCUCCCCUGUGCAUCUGAAACAAGUUUCACACUACGUGCAGGCCCACAGAGAAAGUUGUUGUUCAAAUUUUUCUCUGUUUCUUAAUGCAGUUUUUUCCCCCUAUUUAUAAAAAUUACAUUUACUGUACAAAAUUUAGGUAAAAUGGAGAAAUGUAAAGAAGAAAAUAGAAUGACCCUCAAACCUGCCCAGAGGACUGUGCCACACUUUUUUGGUAUAGUCUACUGAGCUCUUUUUCUUAGACAAACAACACACAUUUUAAGCACAGUUGGGAUACCCUCCAUCUGAUUUCAUGUUCUAAUUGUACAAUGUGCUCCUGAGGUUGUAUUUUGCAUAUUGACUUAUCCCUGAUGUAUCUUUAUGGUUAAAUACUCUGUGGAAAGAUAUUUAGUAACUACCUGACAGCCCAUCAUGUGGGUGUAGCACAACUCACUUACUUGUUUUCCUACCAUUGGCUGUGGUUUGUUUUAAUAUAUUUAAUUUGUGAUGAAGCUGAUACUCAAAAUGGGUUGAAUUAAUUUUAGAAAAUGUUAUAUGUAAUAUAUUGAGUAUAGAAAUUGUGAAUAGUUUCUGUUUGUGAGAGCUACUGUUCUUAUGAUUUUUUUAUUUUAAUAAUGUGUACAUAUCUUUUAUCUUGAUCUUAAAUAUUUUACAAUUGGCUUGGGCUCCUGAGAAAGGCUACACACUCUCUCACUUCUAGAAGUUGGGCACCUCAGAAGACAUAAGAGGAAUUCAGUCACCUGUUCUUGCAACUUCAGUGGUAACUGUGCUUAUAGAUAGUGGAACUGAUCCAUCUGUCAGAUGGAUGAGGAUUUGCUCCAGCCUUCUGUCUCCAUGAGUGUGUGACAAGCAGCCAGUGCCAUCAGGGAGCUCAGAGUGCCUCCUCUACCUGGUGCAGGUGGAAGGUUAGGUAAUUGGAAGCUGCAUCAAACACAUCCCUAUUGCAGGUAGAGAUAUGUAUUUCAUUCAACAGCUGCCAAGUGAGAGGGAGGUGGGAUUCCCUCCUGAGCAACCACUGGAGACCACAAAGGCCAUUAAGGAGAAGUACUGUCACAUUUGCCCCAAUAUAGUCAAGAAGUUUGCCAAGUAUGACGUGGAUCAGCUGAAGUGGAUCAAACAGCAAACAGGGAACAAUGCCAUAAGCCAGAAGAAAUUCAUUAUCGAUGUUUUCUAGGAAAGUUUCCCAGGCCCUGAAAUUUUCUUUCACCCAGAGAUACUGAUUAACAUGCCAAGUAUAAUGCCUGGCCCAGGAAGCUCAGGAGAUGAAUCAAAUAACUUGACCAUGAAGGAGCACUGAGGAGGAGGCAGAGAUGAUCUCUGGCAUGGUGUAUAAAAGAAAGCACUGGAGUUCUGGAGAGGUGAGGCAGAAUACGAAGGUAAACAGGAAUCAUUAUUCCUUUUCUCAGAGGUAUGUAAUCUACAGGGGAAGCAUGCAGCACCUGAAAGGGGAGGAGAGGUUGGUGGGCCAUGCAGGGUUGAAGGAGGAGCAUAGGAACAUGGGUCUGGGAAAGUUUGGCUAGCUUUACAGUGCUCAAUUGAAAUACUACUUUGCAAUAUUUUCUCAACACCAGGGUUCAAGUUUGUUAGUCCUACUGAGACAUCAGGUCAGAAGAAAAGAACAAAAGUGAGAAGGCAUUCAUGGCUUUGCAUUCUCAGAAAGUCAUCCUGCUGGUUCAACUGUGUAUGAUUGAGCAUAUUGUCAUUGAUGAAGAAUUUUUAUUUAUUUUUGAUCAAAGACUUCACCAUGUUUUCCUGAACUUUUCAAUCUCCUGUUUGCAGAGUUUUAAUGUGAGCUCUCCUCGGGCCUGGGAGAAAUUCUGAGAGUGACCCCUGAGAAUGAGCUCAGUGGUGAGAAGUCCAAGGACAGGAUGAGGUCGACAUUGCAAGUGUUUUUGGAAUAAGAAUCAACACACUUAAAGACUGGGAUUUGGAAGUGAGAAGGAGUACAUGGAAGUGAUUCAGGAAGACAAGGAAAUGAGACAGAAGUGGCAACAUUUGUCAAAGUUCUAAGCAUUUGUUCCUUUGGAUUCAAGUGAAACAUCUGGAGUCAAUUCUUAACCCAAUGUUGGUUUGUUCUCACCAACCUCUUUGCCCUGCUAUUGGAAAAUAUAUUACAUUUCUGUAUGUUAUAUGCCCACAAAUACAAUUAAAUGUAUACUGCUUUAUGAUUUUUAAACAAGAUAAGAAAGGAUAAGAAAUAGGCAAUUAUACUCCUUUAUAAUUGCGUAAUUACCUUUAUCAGUGUUCUUUGUUUUGUGUGUGUGUGUAUUCAAAUUACUGUCUUGGGUCACUUGCUUUCAGCCUGAAGAACUAACUUUAGUAUGUCUUGUAAGGUAGGUCUACUGGCAGCAGAUUCUUUCAGAUUUUGUUUUCCAAAUGUCUUUUUAUUUCAUCUUCACUUUUAAAUGAUAAUUUUGCUGGAUAUAUGAUUCUUGAUUAAGAGCUUUUAAAAUUUGAGGGCUGAGAAUAGGUUAUCCUAUUGCCUUCAGCCCUCUAUUGUUUCUGAUGAUAAGUCAACUGUUAAUCUUAUACGAGUUUU